UGAUCUUAUGAUGAAUGCAGUUCUUUAGA
rnacentral:piRNA from 2 species